AGUGAACGCUGGCGGUAGGCCUAACACAUGCAAGUCGAACGGCAGCACAGUAAGAGCUUGCUCUUACGGGUGGCGAGUGGCGGACGGGUGAGGAAUACAUCGGAAUCUACUUUUUCGUGGGGGAUAACGUAGGGAAACUUACGCUAAUACCGCAUACGACCUACGGGUGAAAGCAGGGGAUCUUCGGACCUUGCGCGAAUGAAUGAGCCGAUGUCGGAUUAGCUAGUUGGCGGGGUAAAGGCCCACCAAGGCGACGAUCCGUAGCUGGUCUGAGAGGAUGAUCAGCCACACUGGAACUGAGACACGGUCCAGACUCCUACGGGAGGCAGCAGUGUGGAAUAUUGGACAAUGGGCGCAAGCCUGAUCCAGCCAUACCGCGUGGGUGAAGAAGGCCUUCGGGUUGUAAAGCCCUUUUGUUGGGAAAGAAAAGCAGCAGGUUAAUACCCCGCUGUUCUGACGGUACCCAAAGAAUAAGCACCGGCUAACUUCGUG
rnacentral:rRNA from 1 species